AUUUAAAUAGUUUAAGUUUAGAAUAGUAAUUUGUGAUAUUAUAGGUGUAUUUAUUACUUUGAGUC
rnacentral:tRNA from 1 species